rnacentral:rRNA from 1 species
CGCUAUCACUCCUUCGGGAGGCAGCAGUGGGGAAUAUUGCACAAUGGGGGAAACCCUGAUGCAGCCAUGCCGCGUGUGUGAAGAAGGCCUUCGGGUUGUAAAGCACUUUCAGUAGGGAGGAAGGUAGUGUAGUUAACACCUGCAUUAUUUGACGUUACCUACAGAAGAAGCACCGGCUAACUCCGUGCCAGCAGCCGCGGUAAUACGGAGGGUGCGAGCGUUAAUCGGAAUUACUGGGCGUAAAGCGCAUGCAGGCGGCCUGUUAAGUCAGAUGUGAAAGCCCGGGGCUUAACCUCGGAAUUGCAUUUGAAACUGGCAGGCUAGAGUCUUGUAGAGGGGGUAGAAUUUCAGGUGUAGCGGUGAAAUGCGUAGAGAUCUGAAGGAAUACCAGUGGCGAAGGCGGCCCCCUGGACAAAGACUGACGCUCAGAUGCGAAAGCGUGGGGAGCAAACAGGAUUAGAUACCCUGGUAG